AACAAACUUACUGUUCUGUUUACAGAAAUAUUAUUUAGCAAUUCAUUUGUUUUACGAUUUAUUUUUUCAGUUGUAUUUUGUUUGAAAAAUUUCACUCCAAGUCGCUUUUAAAAAAAUGCUAACAUAAACGUCAAAUUUUUUUUUGCAAGAUAAUAUUCCAAAGAAAUUCAUAUUCAGUGUGUUAUGUUACCAGAAUACUUUUUAAAAGAAGACGUGAUUACUUUGUCAAUUUCAUGAAAUAAUAAUAAUUUUUUAUCUAAGGCCAAGUCCAGAAGUUGAUAUAUAUAUACAAUACAUAUACAUAUAUGCCUUGUGCGUGAAUAGAUAAAAAUUGCAGAUAUACGGAAACUAUAAUUAUAUAUUAAUGUUAGACGUAAACAUUCGCAAAAUGCACGUCGACCACAGUCACUUGAACCAGGUCAUAUUAUGUCUGUAUACGUGACCAACAGCAUGGCUGGAAAAUCGUAAGCGUGGAAACUUGUAAACAAAUGCCAAGGAUCGAUUGUGGGACGUAAAAUGCAAAUUCUUAUAUAGAAUAAAAAUUAAAUGAUGAUGUCCUCGAAUUCGAUUAUUUCAUUUUUUUUAUGGGCUUUAUCUCGUGCCACGAGUGAAAGGAAAUCAAGAAUCACGUUUCUUUUCAUUCUUUCGAUUAUUAUUAUUAUUAUUAAGUAACAGGAAAGAGACUUAAACCUCAUUAUAAAUUAUAAUCCUCUUUAGUCUAAACUCCCCUCACUCUCUCAAAAAUUGAAAAUAAAUAUUACCAUUUUUGCCUCUACUAUAUAAGAAUUUGCAUAAAAAUAUUUUAUUAAAAUUUCAAAAAAAGAAUACUUUAAAAAAGUUUCAAAUAAAAACUAAUAUUAAAUUGUUAAAAACAAAAAACUACAGUAGUUUUUUUCAAAACUCAUUUUAUAAAUAAUUUUUAAUUAAAGUUGAAUAAUUUUAUCAAAAUAUAAUAACUUUAAAUUUGAAAACACAACACUACAAAAAAGAAACUGUUAAAUUACAUAACGUUUUAUUUAUUAUCUUAUCAAUAUUAAUAAUUUACGUUUUGUUUGAUACUUUAUAAUAAUAUAUUCAUUAUUUAGAUAAAAUAAUUAUUAGAGUUAAAAAUCAUGUAACUGAUAAAAUCCUUUAUAAACCAAUAUCUAAAAACUGAGAUUAUACGAUAAAUAAAUGUUCCCUCUCAGCUAGUUUUUUUUUUUUUUUUACAAUUAACUUAUUUACAUUAGAAGCAAUACGCUCCUAAGUAUGCGUAUUAUAACGCAGUUAUAUAAAUAUUUUUGCAGAAUUUUUUUUUUUAA